GGGUGAUUAGCUCGAGCUGGGAGAGCACCUCCCUUACAAGGAGGGGGUCGGCGGUUCGAUCCCGUCAUCACCCACCA
rnacentral:tRNA from 1 species